rnacentral:lncRNA from 1 species
UCUUAUCUUCUCUAACCUCUAUUUUUCUCUUUUCGAUGAUAAUCAUAAAGUUUAGGGACAGUUCCUUACUUAUAAGAUAAAUUAGGGUAAAAUCGAAUUAUACAAGACUUCAAGUCCUUAAUAGAAUUAGGAUCGACAACAAUUAGCUAGGCAUUACAACUUAACAAGGGAUCUAACAUGACCCGUCUUGAAUCACCCUAAUGGACCCGACACGUGCCAUGUGCCAAUGGUAGAUACUGGUUAAGUGCCAGACCCAUCAUUAAGGUAACAUUGAUCUACUUUGACUGUGACAAAUUUUUAAAAGAAUUUUAACACAGUUUCCUUUGAAAUAUAGAUUAAAACUAUCUGAUCAACAAUCAUUUUUCUCAAAUCAAUAUAUGUAAUAUAAAACAGGAUAUGCCAACCCCUCAAAU